UCCCCGUUGGAUCAACUGAGGCCUCAGUUGUAGCUGCGCUGAACUUGAGUUUCUUCCCCCUGGUCAGUCUUGUGUUAUUUAUUCUCUCAGAUGUUGAUUCCCAAGGGUGCUCCCCAGGUUUCUGUCCUUCAUGCACAUUUUUGUCUCAAAGUGUAUCCUGGGAAAUCUGAGCUUAAGCAAUUGGUUUCAGGUGUGGUCUAAGAAGUCAGACUUGAAAACGGAUUUUGAAGUUGGACUACUGGCCAUCCAGCUAACUGCGGGAGACCUGUCAUUAAUGUUGUUAUUGUGUUGUCAAGAACUCGGUGCUGAGUUUGAAGUGAUUGAAGCAUUAGCCUCUGUGAAUAUCUACAAGGAUAUUUUCAAAGAAGUUUCGAAAACUCAGAUUCAAUACAAACUGGAAUGGAACCUGGUUUUAGUAUCAGGAUGAUGCUGGCCUCCUAAAAUGAAGAGUCCCUCUUUUUCUAUUAUUUGGAAUACUUUCAGAAGAAGUGGUACAAUAUCCUCUUUGUAUGUCUGAUAGAAUUUGGCUGCGAAUCUGUCUGGUCCUGGCCUUUU
rnacentral:lncRNA from 1 species